CCGGGAUAGCUCAGCUGGAAAAGCAAAGGACUGA
rnacentral:tRNA from 1 species